UACGUAGGGGGCAAGCGUUGUCCGGAAUCAUUGGGCGUAAAGCGCGUGUAGGCGGCCUUGUAAGUCCGUUCUGAAAGCCCGGGGCUCAACCCCGGGAGGCGGAUGGAUACUGCAAGGCUCGAGUACGGAAGAGGCGAGUGGAAUUCCUGGUGUAGCGGUGGAAUGCGUAGAUAUCAGGAAGAACACCGGUGGCGAAGGCGGCUCGCUGGGCCAGUACUGACGCUCAGCCGCGAAAGCGUGGGGAGCAAACAGG
rnacentral:rRNA from 1 species